GGUGGCGGUGGCGGUGGCUUGUGGGCCUGCGUGUGCUGUCCCGGCGGCGGUCUGGCGCCCGCGCCCGUCUCCAGGCUCCGCUGCUGGACCAGACGGCAAGGGUGGCGCGCUGAGCCCGGCGCAGAAAGAUACGCCCAGGGUUUCAGAGUCGAUGGAGUGUAUUCAGCUGUUAUAUUAUUUAUGACUCUCCGGAUGUCGACGAAAUGACUGACAACACGUGAUGAUUACGGAGCCUCCACUGCUGUGUCCGUGAGCAGACUCUUGGAAAAGCCUGCAUUCGUGCAACAGUGAAUGAGCGAUGAGCUACCUGGUGGACCAGCCCGGACUCUCAUCCUAGAGGCUUUAGAACCUCGGUCAACACACCCUUCUCAGGUCACGGCUGCUGUGCUUGUCCACAUACCAUCAAAACUGGGCAGAGAGGCAGGCUCAGGUCAGACGCCACACAGAGAGGACAUGUCCGUGAAUGGCUGUCCCCUACUGCCUCCACUCACGUCCCCCGUGACGACCCUACAUGCAGGGGAGGCCAGGCAGUGUGGUCUGCCUGGGCGUCCGUUCCCACCUAUCCGAAGCUCUGUUACCGAAUGAUGGUGGGAUGGAUAUUGGAGGACAGUGGCAGCGACUCCCAUCUUACAGAGCGUGCGAUCAGCUCCCAGCACUGAAAGCGACGAGUAAAGGCGGGCGGUGUGGGGGGGUGUCAGCCUCCGCCCCCGCAGUGUGGACGUGUGGCAUCCAUUGCUGCUGGAGGGAGGCUUCGGGGCCGAGUCAUGUCACUGCACACCCGUUUCACUGCUCAGGCUGUGCCCUCUGCCUCCUUUCUCUCUCACUCACCGGAGUGCCCCAAGGUCCAAGGCUUACCCUGGAUGAUGCCUUCGACCAAAAGUAAAGGGACGCUGGCCUAGCAGUGCUUUGAACGUUGCUUCCUGCCCACAAAAAGGCCAGCGGGGAGAGGCUGUUGCAAUGUUAUAGCAGCUGAGCCACUCAGGGAUGUAGAGGACGCUGGGGUGCACAUCCAGGACCCAGGUACCCCGUCCCCACUGCCAUAGUGCUGGUGCUGCCCACGCCCAGCUGAGUGCUCCCUGGGGACCAUCCAUCCUCUGUCCGAGGAAGCUGCCUCACCCCUAGGACAUCCCACACGCGGUGACUGGCGGGUGUGAAGAGACAAAGACCUAGCCCUCUGUCCUCAGCUCAAGCCAUCCCUGAAGGGCUGUCCCGGCUCCAGGAUCUCCGGGCAGGAUGGACCAGAUGAGGCCACUGUGCCUGCAUGUGGCUCAAUUUCUGUUCAUCCAGUCCUGCCCUGCGUCCCUCCCUCCCUCACCAAUGUGGCUCCCAAGUACGUCGUCAGCAUAGCACUGUCCGUACUAGUCAGGGUUUUCCAGGGAAACAGAACCAAGGCGGGGGUGGGGCGUAAAUGGAAAUCUAUUAUGACGGAUUGGCUUGCACAACUCUGGAGGCCGAAAAGCACCACGACCCAGCGCCCGCAAGCUGGACGGCCAGGAGCCCCAGUGGUGUAAUCCCAGUGCGCGGGCAGAGAAAGAGGACAGCAAUCCCAGCCCAGGCGGUGAGGCAGAAAAAAGCCUAACUCCUCCUCCUCCCU